CAGAGGAUUGAGCAGUGAGACUGCAGGGGCAUGUUAUAUACACCAAAACUGCUUCAUUAAGCUAAAGUUGUUCAGGUGACUUUAGUUUUUUUUUGUUCACUUUGCUGCCAAACUAUUGCUUUGUUCACAUUUCUCGAUCUGGACACCAACAGCUUCCCUGUCAGAGCCUUUGGGGCCCCCGGGCAAAAUGUAAUUUCAUUAGAUUAUUAUUUUAUUUAUAUAGCGCCAUCAGAUUCCAUAGCGCUGUACAAUGGGUGGAAUAACAGACAUGUAAUUGUGACCAGACAACUGGACGUACAGGAACAGAGAGGUGGAGGGUAAAUGUUAAAUAUAACUCUCAUAUAAUAUGGCAUUCCUUUGGAUAUGUACAGUGUGAACAAUGCAUGUUUGUAUUUGAGUCUGUGUGAAUGCACUUGUGCAUGUCUGCAUGAUACAUGUGCUUUUUUGUAUAUAGUGUCAGUGUGAAUGCAUCUAACAUUUUAAUUUUAGAAUUUGGAUUUAUUUAGUAAAUUACUCUAAAUAUUGUCUCUCCCCUUGUCAUAGCGUGUGCUGGCUGCAUAUGUUGUGUGCUGCCUGUAUGUAUGUAAUGUAUGUAAUGUGUGUGUGCUGCCUGUAUGGACUGGAGGGGUGGCUGGAUUUUUAGAGUAAUUUGAUUCAGACUUUUAUUCUCUACAAUGUGAGUGUUUUAUGCAAAUAUAAACAAUACUUGUAAU